AAACCCUAGUUUUUCGUCGCUGCACUCCACAAGAAAUUCUAAGCUGAAGAAGAGAAGCAGAAUGGAGGAUUUCAUAAGAAUCUGAACUACAAUUCGAAAUCAACAACACCCACUAUGUAAGUCUGUGUUUUCAAGAUUUGGUUUCCCCUAAAUUUUCAAUCCUUGAUUUCUUAAUUUGCACCUUCAUUUACUCUCUAAUCAGAGAUUUGAUUCACUAGCAUCAUAUUAUAUAUCAGAAAUGGGUUAUGAAGUCGAUAUUGAUGCUAUUGAGAUCGAUUAUUCAUCAAAAUCUUUAGAUUAUUCUGUUCAAUUGUUUGGUCAUGAUUACUGUUGGUUUUAUAGUAGUUGUCAUCGUGUGGUUUCAUCUUUGUUGUUGAAACCCAUCCACUGAAGAAUACAAAAAUAGAAUAUGGGGGUGAUGUUCUAAUAUGGGUCAAGUCUGUUUUGAAUUUCUAUCUGCAUAUCUAUCAUCUCCAUAAAUUCUCUUAUAUGUAUACCUUACCCAUUUUGCCUUAUACCUUGGAUCUAAAACCACUCCAAUGGUCAUAAUCAAAUUACUUUCACUCCAAUAUGCAUUAAACUUUUCUCUCAUUUUCAACCCCAUUUAUUUGACAUAGUCAAACUCACUAUCUUCCCAACUUUUGAUGCAUUUGUUAAUUUCAUAAACCCCAGUGUAAUACAAAUUUGCAGUUGGAUACUUAAUCCCUGCAAACUGAGUUGAAAUAUCAUUAAAAACCUCUAAACAGUUACAAAUUACUAUUCCCUGUUCCCACUGUUGUCUAGAUGGCAGAAUAUCGAAAUCAGAAUCAAACUCACUAUGUUUUUCAAAACCCUCUUGAAGUGCAAUGGCAUUCUUAAGCAUCAGAAAAGUGGAAUUCCAUCUUGUCUCUACGUCUGAACUAACUGACUUUCCAGACAAUCUACAUUGUGCCAAUGCUAUUUCAAACUUCUCUUUUCUAGCUUGUGAAGACUUUACAUAUUUAACACAAUCUCUAAUACCCUCUAUAAACCCAGUAGCUACUUUCAUGCCAUACAAUACAAUCAAAUGCAGUAUGUGGUUGCUACACCUCAUGUGAAACAUUUUUCCUCCAAGCAACAAACAAUUCUUACCAUCUAGCCAACUAAUAAGAUUUCUCGUCAUAACACCAUUAGUUGGAGCAUUAUCAGCAGAAAAAUUUCCUAUCUAUGUUCCAUUCUAAAGUGCAAGUUUUGAUAAAAUCUGAUAGAGCAUCUCCUGUAUGUGGUGAUGGCACUACAAUGUAAGCUAAGGUUUUGGCAGUGAAAUUCCACUCAUCAUCUGCCAACAAUAACCAUCUGAGGUUACACCGUUAACCACUGGUAUGUUGGCAGAUCUUGCAAAAGUCGCUUAAAUUGUUGGCAGUGAAAUUCCACUCAUCAUCUGCCAACAAAUAACCAUCUGAGGUUACACCGUUAACCACUGGUAUGUUGGCAGAUCUUGCAAAAGUCGCUUAAAUUGUUGGAAACCAUCCACUAGAGAAUACGAAAAAUGCUUUAUGCACCGCCUUGUGAGGAUUUUUACUGGUUUUUAGUUGAGGAUAAAGCUUAACCAGCUUAAUUCGGAGAAUGAAUUUUCGUCUAUUUCUAAAUCAGUUUGUCGUUGUUUUCAUUAUUGGUGUUCUCGGCUACUCCUUGAGCUAGGAAGAACAUGAAGAACACUUGGGAAUGCAAAUUAUACACCACAAAGGGUAACUGUGAAUUCUUGGCACCUAAAGUGUUGUUCCUAGGUCACAUGAUCUCAAGUCAAGGUGCAGCGGCUGAUCUUGAAAAGACUGCAGUUGUGAUGCAUUGGAAUUAUGGAAGUCGCCUAUAAAUGUGUAUCAUUGAAGAAGUCAUGAAAGAAUGUCUCUGUCUACCUCUAGCUCUCAUCAAUAUUUGUGGAACUGUGCGUUGCACAAAGGCUCUCCAAAAGGGGCAACAUCCACUCAAUUUCAGGCAUGCACGGAAGUUAUGCACUUUUGCACUCCAUAUCUUCCAAUGAUUCGGCUUCAGUCAGUUUGUCUUCCUAGAGAAAUAGCAUUAUGUUUGUGAAGGAUGGUAAUGUGUGUUUUCUUAAAGAGAAGCUCUUAGUGGAGCAAAAAACUUCUUAUCCUGGUAAUUGGAAGCACUAGGUUUUCUCAAGAAUUAGUAUCUCUUUGGCAAAAGCAUGUUAUGUUGCUUGGUACGGUAAAAGAGGUAUUGUGCUUAGUGGCCUAUGUAGUUUGGAGGUGGAACGUGCAGGACGACCCUUUCUGUCAUCGUUCUUUCACAAACAAAAUCUGGAUUAGACCACCUUUUCCUUGUAAGAUUUUUGAUGUUUGUUUCUAGGCGGAAAUCUGAAAGAUUCACAGAAUCAAGAGGACUCAAGAUGCUGGCUUUCAACAUUAAAGCUCUCUCAUCUCCUAUGGGACGAUAAAUGCUCAGUUGGGACUCUUUCCAUUCGCUUUCUCUUUAUGGCUUUUUCAUUGUGUUGCCGUCAUGUCAGAGUCUGACCUUGUACACAUACAUUUUCCAGAUUAAAUUAUUUGAUGAUGGAAACACUGGGGAAUUCAGGGAAAUGUUGGAUUCCAUUAACUUAAAAUUGAAUGAGAUUUGAGUUGGAUUACAUUAUUAGA